rnacentral:lncRNA from 1 species
AGAGUUAUGUCUAAACAAAUAAGGCAAACGCAAAUGUUGGAGAGAUGUAAAUGGUCUGGUGGAAACACAUGUGGGAAUCUAAAGUCUCUGCCAGUUAGACCUAUGUUUUUUUCUUUCAAUAGUUCAACGACCUUUUUCUAGGGGCACAAUGGCACAUUUAGCAAAACAGUUAUAAUUUCCUGAAUGGAUAAAGUUAAAUACAUUUUGUAAAGAACUAUAUA